GGUUCUGCAGAGCCGGUCAUGUCUGUCGUGCACCGUCGCGGGGCUGCCGUCAUCUUGCGGUUGGCUUGAUUUCGCAGCUUGAGUCUGGAUGCUUGUUCUUGCUUCUCGUCUGUAUUCCUUCUCCCGCGCACUACUUCCACGAGCGGGGGAGCCUCGCCGGGCUGUCUGCAUUGGUAGCGUUCUUGUGUCGUGCCAUCCGGUGUGUGUCCAUCGCUUCAAGCAUGGUGGGGCCUUUGGAGCCGGUGGCCGAUCUUGUGAUGUCAGCGCGGGACCGGUCUGUUGUCACAUCGUGCUCGUGUGCUGUGGUCGAUGGGGCGGUGGUUGGUCUGCCUGCUGCGAUGUCUGCCUUAUGCUCACGUAUUCU
rnacentral:lncRNA from 1 species